rnacentral:rRNA from 1 species
CAGCAGCCGCGGUAAUACGUAGGGAGCAAGCGUUGUUCGGAUUUACUGGGCGUAAAGAGUGCGUAGGUGGCUAUAUAAGUCAAGGGUGAAAUCUCUAUUUUCAAGGUAGAAACUGCCUUUGAUACUGUAUGGCUAGAGGGCAAGAGGGGGAAAUGGAACUCUGGGAGUAGCGGUGAAAUGCGUAGAUAUCCAGAGGAACGCCAGUAGCGAAGGCGGUUCCUGGCUUGCUUCUGACACUGAGGCACUAAAGCUAGGGGAGCGAUCGGGAUUAGAGACCCCGGUAGUCCUAGCCCUAAACGAUGGGUACUAGGUGUGGGGGGAGCAUUACCCUCUGUGCCGAAGCUAACGCGUUAAGUACCCCGCCUGGGGAGUACGGUCGCAAGACUGAAACUCAAAAGAAUUGACGGGGGC